rnacentral:misc_RNA from 1 species
GUAGGUGAAGGUUUGCCUACCGAAGCCCUUAGCCAGCGACUCUAAAAAAUUCAGCUCUAGUCGGUCCUCCCAGGGGCUGGCGACGCCAUCAAUCUGUGUCUGGGAGAACUCCUUCAAGGGGGGUACCACCGGCAGCUCGUUCUCUUCGAGUUCACAGGUCAAACGAUAGCGGCCACUUCGGUGGUGAAGAUAUGAUCGGCCUCUAGCUAUUACCUAGCUGGGGACAUUUUGCGGAACCUGCGGAAGGAUC